GCUCAGCUAUUGAAAGAGAUUAUUAGAGACUCAAGAUCCUGUAUGGAGCAAGAUCUCAAAACGGAGCACUUUACCCAAAGAGAAAAAGAUAUUUUUAUCAAUUUUAAUUUUGCAUUUAGCUAAAGAUCUUGGAAAUGAUGCCAAAUUUUGAUAUAUCUGGAUAAACAUUUUCUAUGUUGAUUAUAAUUAAGAGUUAUAGUCUACAGCAUGUGUAGUCAUAACUAUCGUAUUCGCACUCUAUGAGUUACAUGGCUUUGUCUAUGACUUGUAUAGAUAAAGCUAUUUGUAGAAACUUUUCACAUAAUCAAUUUACUUUUACUUACAAAAAAAAAAAACAUCACAGGAUUUCGGUCCUAUUGUGUUGGCCUUCGGGAUCGGGGGCAUUCGUAUUUCAUAGUCAGAGGUGAAAUUCUUGGAUUUCUGAAAGACGAACCACUGCGAAAGCAUUUGCCAAGGAUGUUUUCAUUAAUCAAGAACGAAAGUUGGGGGCUCGAAGACGAUCUGAUACCGUCCUAGUCUCAAUCAUAAACGAUGCCGACUAGGGAUCGGCGGAUGUUGCUCUUAGGACUCCACCGGCACCUUAUGAGAAAUCAAAGUCUUUGGGUUCCGGGGGGAGUAUGGUCGCAAGGCUGAAACUUAAAGGAAUUGACGGAAGGGCACCACCAGGAGUGGAGCCUGCGGCUCAAUUUGACUCAACAUGGGGAAACUUACCAGGUCCAGACAUAGCAAGGAUUGAUAGACUAAGAGCUCUUUCUUGAUUCUAUGGGUGGUGGUGCAUGGCCAUUCUUAGUUGGUGGAGUGAUUUGUCUGGUUAAUUCCGAUAACGAACGAGACCUCAGCCUGCUAACUAGCUAUGCGGAGGCAUCCCUCCGCGGCCAGCUUCAUAGAGGGACUAUGGACGUUUAGGCCACGAAAGUUUGAGGCAAUAACAGGUCUGUGAUGCCCUUAGAUGUUCUGGGCGCGCAUGCCUUUAAUCGAUGUAUUCAACGAGUCUAUAGCCUUGGCCCGCGGACCCGAGUAAUCUUUGAAAAUUUCAUCGUGAUGGGGAUAGAUCAUUGCAAUUGUUGGUCUUCAACGAGGAAUUCUAGUAAGCGCGAGUCAUCAUUUCGCGUGGACUACGUCCCCGCCCUUUUGUACACACACCGCCGCCCGUCGCUCCUACCGAUUGAAUGGUCCGGUGAAGUGUUUGGAUCAAAGGCGGCGAGGCGGGCGUUCGCCGCCCCCGGCGUCCACGAAGAAGUCCACUGAACCUUAUCAUUUAGAGGAAGGAGAAGUCGUAACUAAGGUUUCCGUAGGUGAACCUCGCGAAA
rnacentral:rRNA from 1 species